GGGAUUGCCCUAGUAACGGCGAGUGAAGCGGCAACAGCUCAAAUUUGAAAUCUGGCUCUUUCAGAGUCCGAGUUGUAAUUUGCAGAGGGCGCUUUGGUGUUGGCAGCGGUCCAAGUUCCUUGGAACAGGACGUCACAGAGGGUGAGAAUCCCGUACGUGGUCGCUAGCCUUCGCCGUGUAAAGCCCCUUCGACGAGUCGAGUUGUUUGGGAAUGCAGCUCUAAAUGGGAGGUAAAUUUCUUCUAAAGCUAAAUACUGGCCAGAGACCGAUAGCGCACAAGUAGAGUGAUCGAAAGAUGAAAAGCACUUUGGAAAGAGAGUCAAAUAGCACGUGAAAUUGUUGAAAGGGAAGCGCUUGCAGCCAGACUUGCCUGUAGUUGCUUAUCCGGACUUUUGUCUGGUGCACUCUUCUGCGGGCAGGCCAGCAUCAGUUUGGGCGGUUGGAUAAAGGUCUCUGUCAUGUACCUCUCUUCGGGGAGAACUUAUAGGGGAGACGACAUGCAACCAGCCUGGACUGAGGUCCGCGCAUCUGCUAGGAUGCUGGCGUAAUGGCUGUAAGCGGCCCGUCUUGAAACACGGACCAAGGAGUCUAACAUCUAUGCGAGUGUUUGGGUGUCAAGCCCAGACGCGUAAUGAAAGUGAACGGAGGUGGGAACCCUUUGGGUGCACCAUCGACCGAUCCUGAUGUCUUCGGAUGGAUUUGAGUAAGAGCAUGGCUGUUGGGACCCGAAAGAUGGUGAACUAUGCUUGAAUAGGGUGAAGCCAGAGGAAACUCUGGUGGAGGCUCGCAGCGGUUCUGACGUGCAAAUCGAUCGUCAAAUUUGGGCAUAGGGGCG
rnacentral:rRNA from 1 species